CCUUGGUAUCAUGUGCAUAUAGGUUUAAUAAGUGAUCCCAUUGCACAUGAUAGUGGGGCU
rnacentral:pre_miRNA from 1 species